GAAUCAACGCUGGCGGCGUGCCUCAGACAUGCAAGUCGAACGCGAAAGUUUCCUUCGGGGAACAAGUAGAGUGGCGCACGGGUGAGUAACACGUAGGUAAUCUACCUUCGGAUGGGGAAUAACAAUCGGAAACGGUUGCUAAUACCGCAUAAUGCAGCGGCACCUAAUGGUGACAGUUGUUAAAGCGGGGGAUCGAAAGACCUCGCGUCUGAAGAGGAGCCUGCGGCGGAUUAGCAGUUGGUAAGGUAACGGCUUACCAAGGCUACGAUCCGUAGCCGGCCUGAGAGGGCGGUCGGCCACACUGACACUGACAUACGGGUCAGACUCCUACGGGAGCAGCAGUCGGGAAUUUUGGCAAUGGGCGAAAGCCUGACCCAGCAACGCCGCGUGAA
rnacentral:rRNA from 1 species